rnacentral:lncRNA from 10 species
AGGAAAUCCCUCUGUCAUCUGCCGCUGUUUGGGGCCAAAAGCUUGAACUGUGAUGAAUUUUGUGAAAGGGAGAACUGCCUCAUUCUGCCAAAGCCGUUCAGAAGUGAGUCACUAGCCCAGAACAGGCCCCACAUAGCUGCACCAGCUCAGACUCCAUCUAGCUGCACCUGCAGGAGCUAAGGCUCGAGGUGGACAUCGGGCCUGGGCCCCAGGGCAGAGUCAUGACCAACAGGGGGCAGCCCAGGGAGCUACUCCCCAGCCUUCAGUGGGCCCCACUUCCCUUCCCUCCUCCCCUCCCUGAAGGCCCCUCCCAGACCGCUUGGCCUCCGGCCUUGCCUCCUCCAACCUGAUCUCCUGGGGUUGCUCAAGGGUCUCCUCUAAAAAGCAAAUCCGGUCUUGUCUUUCCCCUGCCUGCCGCAUUCCGUGGCUCCUCACUGCUCUCAGGAGAAAGACCAAAGUCCCUGUGUGCUCCCAAGCCCUCUCCUGAUGAUGCAGAGGCGUGGCCCAUAGGGACUGAGAGCUGCUCACUUCAGGCAGAAGCCAGGCAUCCUGGCAGCCCCUGAGAGCCGCCCAGCUGGCCAGAAGGACCUGCUCCCAGGCCUCCCUUUCCCUGUAAUUCAUAUAUAGAAAGCAUCUAAAUCAGGAGCCAACCCUCCACCAGAGGGAGCGGCGCCCUGGAGGUGGAAGUGGAGCUUUUCUUAGUCAUUACAUUUGGUUUUGUUUUGGGGGAAAAAAACAAAAUGAAACAAUUAAGGUCUUAUUUUCACAAUCACCUGUGGAAUGAGGAGGCUUCCAGAUGGUAUUUGGUGAGAGCACCAGGAACCUUGUGGUCCUGUGAGGGCAUUCAGGGGUAGGGAGUCUAACUCAUCACCCAAUCCUCAUGGCUCCAACUUUAAACACACCCAGAAGCCUAUCUCGUCCCCCAGCCCAGCUCCGUCGCCUGCACCUGGUCCAAGCUGAGGCCCCUCUGCCCCAGCCUCCUGGUUGCCCCACUGUUUCUGCCCUGGGCCUGCUCCAGUCCCUUCUCACGGACAGCCAGAGCCAAGCCUCUGCUCCAGUAAGGGAUCUCUCCAAAGGCUCCUGUCUCCCUCCGGGUAAGGCCAGGGUCCUAAUCACGGCCCACAGAGGCCGACACCACCGCCUCUGACCUCCCUCCCUCUGUCUCCAGCUUUCCUGGGAUCCCGCCUGGGAUCCCCUCUGCCCAGCACUCAGACCUCCUGCACCAGCUGUUCCCCUGCCUGGAACAUUCUCCACUCCCCCCAGGUCCACAGGGUCUGAGCCUCAUGUCCUACAGAUGUCACUCAAAGGGUGGCCCUUCACUGGCUUCCCUGAUGGCACCACUUCCUGCCCACUGGUCCUUCUCCCCCUCCCUCACUCUGCCUCAUCUAGCCCUGGACACUCCACCAAUCUGAUACAUCUUUAUUUCUCUGUUUAUUGUCUAGUUUCCCUCCAUGCCCACCAGGAUGUAAGCUCUGAGAGCAGGGGCUUUGUUUCAUUCGCUGCCAUAAUUCCAGUACCAAGAACAAUGCCUGGCACCUCCUAGUAGGUGCUCAAUAAAUAUUUAUUGAAUGAAUGAAUGAUUGAAUUAUGUCUGUCAUUGACAGAGGGAAGUCUGGGCAACAUAGUGAGACCCCAUCUCUACCAAAACUAAAUAAUUAGCCAGGUGUGGUGGUGCAUGCCUGUAAUCCCAGCUACUCCAGAGGCUGAUACAGGAGGAUUGCUUGGUCCCAGGAGGUAGAGGCCACAGUGAGCCAUGAUCACACUGCUGCACUCCAGCCUAGGCAACAGAGAGAGAUAUAGUCUCAAAAAAAAAAAAAAAAAAAGGAAAAGAAAAAAAGAAAAGAAAAUACAUAGGGGUGGGCAGAUUUCCCCUAAGAUGCUCUAAGGAUGCCCUCUCUAGGUGCAGGAGUCAGUCUAAAGUUACCUCCUGGGGGAAGUCUUCUGUCCAGUUUUUAAAUGGAAGUUCUAGCUGCAGGCAGCAAGUCUCAUCACUGAAUAGAACCGGUUUUCAUUUGGUGCAAACACUAUCUCCUCCAGGAAGCCCUCCCAGGACCCUUCCCAGCCCCUAGUGAAAGUGCCUCCCUCCUGCUAGCCUGCCACUUUCUCCCUUGUGGUCCAUUCUGGAUGUCAGUGCCGGGCCAGUGAGCAUCCUAGCGGGCGCCUGAGUCAUACCCGGAGUGCACCUGGAGAGCCCCUUUCUGCUCACACUUUACAGGGCCCCAUGCUGGCCUCAGACACGCCCAUCUUCUCAUUUAAGCCUUACAACAACCUUCCGAGGUAGUCAUCACCAUCCCCAUCUUACAGAUAAGGAAACUGCGGUCAGAGGCCACAGAGGUGACUUACCCGAGCCCCACACCUGGUGUCACAGUGGAGUGGAGCCUGGCUCCUUGGCCCUGAGUUCAGCCCCCAUCACAGCUGCCGAAUUCACAGUCAGUGCUCAACACGUGUUCACGUGUUUGGAGGACGAACCAAACCCGAGUUCUCGGGGCUCCCCAGCCAGCAUGAAGACCGUGUAACCACAGCACGCAUGGGCGGGCCGCUUGGCAAUGGCCAGGCUCAUGCUCUACUGAGCCCCUGGGGGUCACGACUCCCCUGCUGCUCUGUGCAGAGAAAGAAAAGGCAGUCACCUCUCUCUUCCCUCACUGGAAGGUGAGGCCCAGGGGGUCCGGCCUGUGGGAUGUGAAGAAGCCACACAUUGGUGCCCAUCACCUGGUCCUCAGCCUCUCCUUAGGGCAGAGUCGAGGCCCAGAAGGUUGAAAGAGCUGGAAGCUGGGGAAGAGCCUGCACCAGUGCCUUUGCCUCUUAUCAACCUGGUGAGCAGGAAGUACAGGAUCGUUUUGAAUUCAGCAGAUUUUGAAUAAUGCCAGAUCAGGAGUGGAUCUCUGGGAAAAGAAGCCGGAAGAAAAGAAGUCAGAAGUCCAACCACAGCUGGAUGGACUUUUCCACAACAUAAUGUCUGCCUCUCAGACUCAUUCCAUUCACAAGUUGAUUUCUGUCUCCCUGAUCCAUUCAUUCUCCUUAAUAAUCAUUUACUGCUCCUCAAAACAAUGCUCUAUGUUUCCCAUCUCCUCGCUCCCCUGGGAAAAAGAGUACAUAAGCUUCUGUACCCCAUUGGGGGAUUGGGGUAAUCACACUGUAAUUCUCUCCCAUGAAUGUUAAUAAAUGUGUAUCCUUUUUCUCCUACUAAUCUGCCUUUUGUCAGGUGAUUUUCAGUGAACCUUCAGAAGGAAAAGGGGAAGUUUUCCCUUCACCCAUAUGCAGGCAUGUAAAGAUGUUCAUUGCAGUGCUGUUUAUAGCAGAGAAAAUGGCAAACACAAUCAAACAAUAGGGGGAUAGUUAAGAAAAAAAUGCACAGUUGCAGUUAGACUGGUCUCUACCGGCAGGGAGGUUUUUUUUCACCCUUUUUGAUUCUCACAGCAGCCCUAUGAUGUAGACAAAACCGGGUUCACAUUUAUUCUCCCCAUUAUUCAUGGGGGUGGGGGCCAGGAUGCAGACUGAGUUUUGAGAAAUUCUGGGCAGAGCUUCCAACAGGGAAUCAGAUUCUGAACUGGGACAGCUCCCAGGUGUCCUAAAGCGGAAUCCAGAGCUGACUCACAGCAGCGUGUGUCUGACAGGGGGAUCCAGCGGCAAGUCCCUACUCUUGGAUAAAGAUGAAACCACCUUUGCGAAAAUUAUGACAGAGGCCGGGCACGGUGGCUCACACCUGUUAUCCCAGCACUUUGGGAGGCCAAGGCAG